rnacentral:tRNA from 1 species
GCUCCCGUAGUUCAAUGGAUAGAAUGCGAGGUUGCGGACUUCGUGAUCCAGGUCCGAUUCCUGGCGGGAGCA